GAUGAACGCUAGCGAUAGGCUUAACACAUGCAAGUCGAGGGGCAGCAUGGUCUUAGCUUGCUAAGACUGAUGGCGACCGGCGCACGGGUGCGUAACGCGUAUGCAACUUGCCUCACAGAGGGGGAUAACCCGUCGAAAGACGGACUAAUACCGCGUACACUCCAUCUUGGGCAUCCAAGGUAGAGGAAAAGAAAUUCGCUGUGAGAUAGGCAUGCGUCCCAUUAGCUAGUUGGUGAGGUAACGGCUCACCAAGGCAACGAUGGGUAGGGGAACUGAGAGGUUGAACCCCCACACUGGUACUUGAAGACCACGGACCAGACUUCCUACGGGAGGCAGCAGUGAGGAAUAUUGGUCAAUGGGCGAGAGCCUGAACCAGCCAAGUCGCGCGAAGGAUGACUGUCUUAUGGAUUGUAAACUUCUUUUGUAGGGGAAUAACGACUAGUACGUGUACUGGAGUGAAUGUACCCUACGAAUAAGCAUCGGCUAACUCCGUGCCAGCAGCCGCGGUAAUACGGAGGAUGCGAGCGUUAUCCGGAUUUAUUGGGUUUAAAGGGUGCGUAGGCGGCCUGUUAAGUCAGCGGUGAAAUCUAGGAGCUUAACUCCUAAAUUGCCAUUGAUGCUGGCGGGCUUGAGUGUAGAUGAGGUAGGCGGAAUGCGUGGUGUAGCGGUGGAAUGCAUAGAUAUCACGCAGAACUCCGAUUGCGAAGGCAGCUUACUAAGGUACAACUGACGCUGAAGCACGAAAGCGUGGGUAUCAACAGGAUUAGAUACCCUGGUAGUCCACGCAGUAAACGAUGAUAACUGGGCGUAUGCGAUAUACAGUAUGCUCCUAAGCGAAAGCGUUAAGUUAUCCACCCUGGGGAGUACGCCGGCAACGGUGAAACUCAAAGGAAUUGACGGGGGCCCGCACAAGCGGAGGAACCUGUGGUUUAAUUCGAUGAUACGCGAGGAACCUUACCCGGGAUUGAAAUGUAAAUGACCCGCUCCUGGAAAGGG
rnacentral:rRNA from 1 species